AUUGAACGCUGGCGGCAGGCUUAACACAUGCAAGUCGAGCGGAGAUGAGGUGCUUGCACCUUAUCUUAGCGGCGGACGGGUGAGUAAUGCUUAGGAAUCUGCCUAUUAGUGGGGGACAACAUUCCGAAAGGAAUGCUAAUACCGCAUACGCCCUACGGGGGAAAGCAGGGGAUCUUCGGACCUUGCGCUAAUAGAUGAGCCUAAGUCGGAUUGGCUAGUUGGUGGGGUAAAGGCCUACCAAGGCGACGAUCUGUAGCGGGUCUGAGAGGAUGAUCCGCCACACUGGGACUGAAACACGGCCCAGACUCCUACGGGAGGCAGCAGUGGGGAAUAUUGGACAAUGGGCGGAGGCCUGAUCCAGCCAUGCCGCGUGUGUGAAGUAGGCCUUUUGGUUGUAAAGCACUUUAAGCGAGGAGGAGGCUACCUGGAUUAAUACUCUAGGAUAGUGGACGUUACUCGCAGAAUAAGCACCGGCUAACUCUGUGCCAGCCGCCGCAGUAACAC
rnacentral:rRNA from 1 species